AACGAACGCUGGCGGCAGGCCUAACACAUGCAAGUCGAGCGGAUGAGAGGAGCUUGCUCUUUGAUUCAGCGGCGGACGGGUGAGUAAUGCCUAGGAAUCUGCCUGGUAGUGGGGGACAACGUUUCGAAAGGAACGCUAAUACCGCAUACGUCCUACGGGAGAAAGUGGGGAUCUUCGGACCUCACGCUAUCAGAUGAGCCUAGGUCGGAUUAGCUAGUUGGUGAGGUAAUGGCUCACCAAGGCGACGAUCCGUAACUGGUCUGAGAGGAUGAUCAGUCACACUGGAACUGAGACACGGUCCAGACUCCUACGGGAGGCAGCAGUGGGGAAUAUUGGACAAUGGGCGCAAGCCUGAUCCAGCCAUGCCGCGUGUGUGAAGAAGGUCUUCGGAUUGUAAAGCACUUUAAGUUGGGAGGAAGGUCAGUAGCUUAAUACGUUGCUGAUUUGACGUUACCGACAGAAUAAGCACCGGCUAACUCUGUGCCAGCAGCCGCCGCGGUAA
rnacentral:rRNA from 1 species